UUAACCAUUCAUCAGGUGGACUCUGAACGAAUAUCUAGCUUAAGAGGAAAGUGCAUCGUAAUACACCAGAAAUUUCUGUUGAUGAAAGAAAUUUUAGUUAAACAGAUCUAUGCUGGCGGAAAUUUCCAUGCAAUUUUUAGGUUUCCAUGUAUGAGUCAUUUGAAACCCACCAUGACCUGGAACGACCUUGGGGAAGUGUUGCCAAACAUUUCUACCCGGGAAACUCAACAACACGACGACGAAUCAAAUUUCCUCGCAAUCUUACGCAAGAAUCCACAAUAUUUUAUCGCCUGGUAUGGAGAAGAUCGACGCCCAAUUUCUGGUCGAUACGGUGCCGGAAUGAUUUCCCACCUACUCGAAUAUUCUAGAAGACCGAGAUCACGACGGGAAAUUGAAAACUACGAAUUCUCCGAGUUUAUGCCACUUCAAGAACUAAUUUACUUCUUUAUUGAGGCCUUCUUAACAAUCCAGAAUCAAAGAAAGCGUUGGUCAUAUGCAGCGACCAGGAUGAUCAAUGGGGGCAAAAAAUUAGCAAAUAUGUUAGUCGAUAAAGGGCACGUAAACGCGGACUACUUACCUGCCUUGGAGUAUUUGUAUCGCUGGAUUUUAGCCAAUAUUAUUUUCGCCAAGGGAAAAUUGAUCGCCACAUCCAAGCUCAUUGACAUUGCCAGUUAUGCAAAUUAUACGACACAAUGGGACAAGCUACCAAGCAAGUCGAAAGCGCUCGUCACCGCGGCAAAGUGCUUCUUUCUCGCGUCGAUGAAGAUGACUGAUUCUAACCCGAAGGCACAGGCCAAGCAGGAAUUACGGAAGGUAGUCAACCUAGAUCCGCUAGUAUACGAGUGGCACUACAACUUAGGAAAUUGGAUUCGCUGUGAGCGAAAAACUUUAGCUGGCAUGAGCGAUAACUUUUUACUGAAACAAUGUCCCACCGAAGAGGAGAUGCAAAUUCUUUGGGAAACUUAUGACGUUUGCACCUACACGAAAAUCGGGGACGAUGGCAAGGCAACAACUUUGAGAAGGAUGGCGUUAGCCGGCGUUUGUCAAGGUAUGGCGGAAGUUGUUCGCUACCGUUGCCGGGCUAGCCUGGGCGGAAGUUUUAAGUUCGGUGGGUUACACCUGGCUAAUAAUUUUGCAACUGUGGAAUUCAUCCGAAAACAGACCAAAGCGAUCCAGGACGAAGAGAGAGCAACAUUUGCAGAGUAUAUUCGCUUCGGAGAAAUAUUUGCCGGGAUUCUUCCCCAUCAAUUUAGAGAUUACAAAAUGGCGGAAGUAUUUUAUAAAGAGGCCUACUUGAUAAUGCCCAGUAAUAGCAAGAUAAACCACAAACUAGGAACCUUGUAUUUUACAUCGGACGAGCUCCGAGACAUCCCUCGCUCUCUCCAUUUCCUCCGCCGCGCCGUAAAACGUGAAUUCUCCAACGUUUUCGCAACCCUUGACUUGCUUGGUGUCAUGAUUUCGUCCGUUUCCGAGCACCUCGCCGAAAUCGAGGAAGUCAUCCAAUUGUACUUGGAACGGAUCAAGGAUGGAUUCACAGGCCUGACUGAAAGUGAACUAAAAUGGAUAUUGGGUUGUGCCAAAUUCAUGACAGUGUCGGAUAAGGAGGACGCAGUUACAGUUUGGAUUUCCGGUCAAGAAUUGAACCCAACUAAAAAUGCAUUUGCUAAACUGCUCCUCUCAAUUAAACGGUAUCACUGGGAUAACAACUUGAUAAAUUUGAACCUGGUUAAAUCCACGCUAGAAAAUUCACUGAGGACACGAACCGAUACUAAUGAGAUUGCCAUUUUGCGAAAUAUGAUUGAAACUCUUCCCACUGCUACCAACAGGGGAACAUUUCAGACAAGUCUCCCUACAAGAGGUGGCUUCAGCAAAAGAGGAGGAUGCCAAGAAAGCGAUUUAGAUACCAAUUGGCGUACAUCUUCCAGACCAGUUCCUAACCGUGGGGAGGUUCCCACCAAUAAUUUUGGUAGGAGGAGAACUCUUAGACAGCAGCAUCGUCCCACAAGCCCAAUCAAUUGGAGAUGAACUUUAAUAAUGGACGGCUCCACUUAAAUUUCCUAUAAAUUUCUCUGUGACAAGUUACAUAUACACAAGUUUUAAAUAUUUUAAACUUCUUCAGAUGAUCUACUUAUUUCCCUUCUUGCAAGGAAAAAUGCAUACUCGUUCGAGCUAGAUUUUAUUCAAUAGCAUAAUCAUUUUUAUAUUUGUUCAUGCAUAUAUGCUUUCGUCAUAAAAGUUCUUCAGAGAAGAUUACAAUUAUUGAUUAAAUCAAAUACAAUGUCAAAGAGAGAUAUAGUCGACCAAAUAUAUUAUAUUAAAUAAAAAAUACUUGGGGCAGUCAUGGACAUGUCCAUGACCAUAAAUGAAAUUUACAUAGGUUUACUUCAUGACGCGUAUGAUUUAAUUUAACUUGUAUCUUAACAAGUCACAUAAACGCCAAAUGUUCAUACACAUAUUGACGUAUACGUAUGUAAUGCUUACGUAAGUUAUGUAUAAGUCACAAUUUUAAGUUAUAAGUUUUGUAUCCAUGGAUGCUCCAAGUAUCCAUUAUUUAUGUUACCUUUCCUUGAUAGAAUUAUGGUCUACGAAAUGCAUAAACAUAUUAAAUAUUUUAAUCACAGAAAUAUUCUUCUGUCGGCAAGUAUUUUUAGUCCUCCUCUCUUUACAUUUAGCUAUUAAAUAAAAGACAUUAUUUCAGA